GCAGGCAAAGCAUCACUUUAAAAAAAGAAAAAAAUCAAAGGCUUCUUUUCAAUCAUCUGAUUUUUUUUCUUAAAAAUUUAGAAAUUCCAUCAUUUAAAAUUGAUAGUUUUCUAUGUAUAUAAAUCUCAUUGUAAUAAUAUAUAUUUUUUUAUAAAAAUGAAGAUAUAAUAUGUUACAGUACUUACUGAAUGAUUAAUAAUACAACUGUCAGGUU
rnacentral:lncRNA from 1 species